AGAAAGAAAGAAAGAGAAAUGAAAGAAAGAAAAGAAAAUGUACCAGGGGCUCACUAGAUACUUUGAAUCUUACAUGUUUUUUUUUUUUUUUUCUUUUUCCCAAUCUUUUUUUUUUCCCCUCAACU
rnacentral:sRNA from 1 species